GUGAGUGGGAGGCCAGAGCAAGGCAGGGGGAGCUGCAGGGCCGUCGGAGGGGCCCCAGGGUCUGAGCCCCGUCCUCCCGCAG
rnacentral:pre_miRNA from 1 species